rnacentral:rRNA from 1 species
UACGGAGGGGGCUAGCGUUGUUCGGAAUUACUGGGCGUAAAGCGCACGUAGGCGGCUUUGCAAGUUAGAGGUGAAAGCCCAGGGCUUAACCCUGGAAUUGCCUUUAAAACUGCAUCGCUAGAAUCGUGGAGAGGUAAGUGGAAUUCCGAGUGUAGAGGUGAAAUUCGUAGAUAUUCGGAAGAACACCAGUGGCGAAGGCGACUUACUGGACACGUAUUGACGCUGAGGUGCGAAAGCGUGGGGAGCAAACAGGAUUAGAAACCCCAGUAGUCC